GAUGAAGAACGUAGCGAAAUGCGAUAAGUAGUGUGAAUUGCAGAAUUCAGUGAAUCAUCGAAUCUUUGAACGCACAUUGCGCCCUUGGUAUUCCAAAGGGCAUGCCUGUUCGAGCGUCAUUUGUACCCUCAAGCUUUGCUUGGUGUUGGGCGUCUUGUCUCUAGCUUUGCUGGAGACUCGCCUUAAAGUAAUUGGCAGCCGGCCUACUGGUUUCGGAGCGCAGCACAAGUCGCACUCUCUAUCAGCAAAGGUCUAGCAUCCAUUAAGCCUUUUUUUCAACUUUUGACCUCGGAUCAGGUAGGGAUACCCGCUGAACUUAAGCAUAUCAAUAAGCGGAGGA
rnacentral:misc_RNA from 1 species